UGGCUCAGGAUGAACGCUGGCGGCGUGCCUAAUACAUGCAAGUCGAGCGAACGGACGAGAAGCUUGCUUCUCUGAUGUUAGCGGCGGACGGGUGAGUAACACGUGGAUAACCUACCUAUAAGACUGGGAUAACUUCGGGAAACCGGAGCUAAUACCGGAUAAUAUUUUGAACCGCAUGGUUCAAAAGUGAAAGACGGUCUUGCUGUCACUUAUAGAUGGAUCCGCGCUGCAUUAGCUAGUUGGUAAGGUAACGGCUUACCAAGGCAACGAUGCAUAGCCGACCUGAGAGGGUGAUCGGCCACACUGGAACUGAGACACGGUCCAGACUCCUACGGGAGGCAGCAGUAGGGAAUCUUCCGCAAUGGGCGAAAGCCUGACGGAGCAACGCCGCGUGAGUGAUGAAGGUCUUCGGAUCGUAAAACUCUGUUAUUAGGGAAGAACAUAUGUGUAAGUAA
rnacentral:rRNA from 1 species